rnacentral:rRNA from 1 species
AUUGAACGCUGGCGGCAGGCCUAACACAUGCAAGUCGAACGAGUGGCGGACGGGUGAGCAAUUUCUGGGAACCUGCCUGAUGGAGGGGGAUAACUACUGGAAACGGUAGCUACUACCGCAUACCAUCAGAUCUGCCCAGAGGGGAUUAGCUUGUUGGUGGGGUAACGGCUCACCAAGGCGACGAUCCCUAGCUGGUCUGAGAGGAUGACCAGCCACACUGGAACUGAGACACGGUCCAGACUCCUACGGGAGGCAGCAGUGGGGAAUAUUGCACAAUGGGCGCAAGCCUGAUGCAGCCAUGCCGCGUGUAUGAAGAAGGCCUUCGGGUGGUAAAGUACUGUCAGCGGGGAGGCGUUACCCGAAGAAGAAGCACCGGCUAACUCCGUGCCAGCAGCCGCGGUAAUAC